CACACACACACACACACAUACACACACAUACACCAAGCACAAUGUUACACACUGCAGGAACAAUACAAUAAACUCAGGUUGCCUACACUACACUACACUGGCUCUCAGGUACACACACACAGACACACACACACAGGCUAUCAGGUACACACACACACACACACACACAGGCUAUCAGGUACACACACACAGGCUAUCAGGUACACACACACACACACACACACAGGCUAUCAGGUACACACACACAGGCUAUCAGGUACACACACACGGAGGCUCUCAGGCGCACACACACACACACACACUGGCUCUCAGGUACACACAGACACACACACACACUGG